rnacentral:lncRNA from 1 species
GGCUGCUUGGUGGUGAGGAGGCUGGAGUUGGCCUCGGGGUGAAGCAGAGAGACCAGCUAAGAGGGCGCUGCCCAGUAAUCCUGGUGACAGAUGGUGGGCCCUGUGGGUGAAGUCUGUGUGCGCUUCUUGUCCUGCAGAGGGAACAAGCAGGACGAGGAGGAGAACCAGGUCCACUGGACAACGGACAGUGAUUGUGGCCUCAAGAUCCAAUCACUCAGAGAGAGGUGCGAGGGAACUCAGCUCCAGGUUUUUCUUGGUUGUGCUCUCUUCCUGAAGCCCUCUGUGGUGUCAGCCAGUCAUGGAUAAACGAGACUCUGAAGUGAAGCCCAGCACCCCGACACUGCGCAUCAGGAGGAAGGCAGAUGAAUACCUAAAACCCACCCUGGUCUACAAAAACGUGCUGAGCUUUUUACUCGGUAGGCAGCUAGGGGGGCACAAAAACGAUGUGCAUCUGUCACGGUGGCUGUGGAUGUUGACACAAACCACACCAGAGUGGAGCUGGCCUUUGCCAAAAAGUCCUGUGGGUAACCCACCUGUUCUCCUUGGGGAUUAUGAAAAAUCCCAGAAAAUGAUGUGGAUCAACAAAUCCUUCCCCUGAUAGAAGCAUUAAAAUUGAAGCUAUGUUUUCACGUC